rnacentral:rRNA from 1 species
UACGUAGGGGGCAAGCGUUGUCCGGAAUUAUUGGGCGUAAAGAGCGCGUAGGCGGUCCGAUAAGUCGGCUGUGAAAGUCAGGGGCUCAACCCUUGAAAGCCGGCCGAUACUGUCGGACUAGAGUCCGGAAGAGGCAAGUGGAAUUCCCGGUGUAGCGGUGAAAUGCGCAGAUAUCGGGAGGAACACCAAUGGCGAAGGCAGCUUGCUGGGACGGUACCGACGCUGAGGCACGAAGGUCAGGGGAGCAAACGGG